CGCCCGUCACACCAUGGGAGUCAGUAACGCCCGAAGCCGGUGACCUAACCGAAAGGGAGGAGCCGUCGAAGGUGGGACCGAUAACUGGGGUGAAGUCGUAACAAGGUAAC
rnacentral:rRNA from 1 species